rnacentral:rRNA from 1 species
UCGAGAAUCUUCGGCAAUGGGCGCAAGCCUGACCGAGCGACGCCGCGUGUGGGAUGAAGGCCUUCGGGUUAUAAACCACUGUCGGAGAGGAGGAAAUGCCCAGGGGUUCUCCCCUAGGCUUGACCAAUUCUCGGAGGAAGGACGGACUAAGUUCGUGCCAGCAGCCGCGGUAAUACGUACCGUCCAAACGUUAUUCGGAAUCACUGGGCUUAAAGAGUUCGUAGGCGGCCCAGAAAGUUGGGUGUGAAAUCCCUCGGCUCAACCGAGGAAUUGCGCUCAAAACUACUGGGCUAGAGGGAGAUAGAGGUGAGCGGAACUGAUGGUGGAGCGGUGAAAUGCGUUGAUAUCAUCAGGAACACCGGAGGCGAAGGCGGCUCACUGGGUCUCUCCUGACGCUGAGGAACGAAAGCUAGGGGAGCGAACGG